rnacentral:rRNA from 1 species
GACGAACGCUGGCGGCGUGCUUAACACAUGCAAGUCGAACGGAAAGGCCCUGCUUUUGUGGGGUGCUCGAGUGGCGAACGGGUGAGUAACACGUGAGUAACCUGCCCUUGACUUUGGGAUAACUUCAGGAAACUGGGGCUAAUACCGGAUAGGAGCUCCUGCUGCAUGGUGGGGGUUGGAAAGUUUCGGCGGUUGGGGGUGGACUCGCGGCUUAUCAGCUUGUUGGUGGGGUAGUGGCUUACCAAGGCUUUGACGGGUAGCCGGCCUGAGAGGGUGACCGGCCACAUUGGGACUGAGAUACGGCACAGACUCCUACGGGAGGCAGCAGUGGGGAAUAUUGCACAAUGGGCGGAAGCCUGAUGCAGCAACGCCGCGUGCGGGAUGACGGCCUUCGGGUUGUAAACCGCUUUCGCCUGUGACGAAGCGUGAGUGACGGUAAUGGGUAAAGAAGCACCGGCUAACUACGUG